GUGAUCCUGUGAUGUGCGUAAGAUGUUUUUCUUUGAGCCAACACUUUAGACGAGGGAGCUUGGCGUUGUUUGUCCGAUUACAAGCCUUGGAAGUGAAGGGGACGUAAAAAGGCAAAUGCAGAGCGCCCACCUGCGUAGCAGGUUCAAAGCGUCACCUUUUACGGCAUUAGCGGGACAUAA
rnacentral:other from 1 species